UCCCAAGGCUGCUACACACCCGCCUCAGCUGCAGACGGCUUCCUGGGUAUGGUGCUAAGCUCUGACAGUGCUGAGCUCCUUCAACAUAAGGAGUUCAACCAGCUGCCAAACUGCACUGAAAUGUGCCGCACCCAAUGAUGUAAUGAUGGACUAAAGAAAUGGCCACCCCUUCAACAUGGGAGAAUAUCUUUGCUAAUGUGGCAAUAAAGAUGUUUGGACAGAGAUGCUGCUGUUCUCCUAAAGCAAAGUCCUUGGUUUUAUGACUGUGGACCUGACAACUCUGAACAAAUGCUGGGGAGGAUUAUACUUGUGUGAAACAUCUAAGUAUGACACUGUAAAUGUGCUGUAGGACUCUUGCACAUGCAUAUGCAGCAGUAACAAAAGAUUAUGGUAAAUGUAGAUUGGAUGCUACAAAGAAGCAACAGAAAAUUCUUUCAUGUUACUAAGAACUGGGGAUACAGAGUAUGCUGUUCUUCACCUGUGCACUUGUACAAUAGAACUGAGGCCAGGCAAAGCUGCGGAAUUAAGUUAUAUUGCCUAUUUGGAGGUAAAAGAUCCAAAAUAUGAGAGCAUGUGUGCUGGUAGACCUUGUGGAUCUCACACAUUGACACGUGUGCAAAUGCCUAGGGGCCACAGCACAUUUCCUGCCAAGCCCAAGGAGCCUGGGUGCUAGUUUUGCUGGGUCCUUGAAAGGCAUCCCCUGUCAGGCUUAGUCCAAAGCUGCUCCUGUAAGACCCAGGUGGCAGCGAGACAGUUUUGUCCGGGCAGGCUCUUCGCCUAUCACACCUGCACCGCAGCUGUUAUUGCUGGACUCUAUGUUGGCUAUAGAUCCGCCAAAUUAAAAAUGGGACAUUUUAUCCCUGUUCCAAGGAGACUGAAGACUUCAACUACCAGAACUGAAUGCCAAUAAAUACUAUACAGUGAAAGAAAGUGAUUUUUUUUUCUUCCUAGGAAUUAAAAGCCCAUAUUACCACUGCUAAUUUAAAAUAAUAUUACUUCAAACUGUAUCCCUUGGAGACAGACUUCAGAGGCCACACAUUUACAAAUGGCUCUAAAGAGAAAUAUCCACAUUUACUUUUCUUCUGAGGUCUACUCAGAAAACUUUAUAGAUUUGGAUUAUUAUGAAUCAUUCAUUGAAAAGACUGUAUUUCAUAGAUGGCUCCAUGCUUCAUGGCCUUUUCACACAGAGAUGCUACUAACUGGUUUGUUGUUUGCCAACUUUGAUUUUCAACAUUGGACAGAGCAAUUUUGGAUAAGAAAUAAACAAUUUCACUACAUUUGUUUCCUCUACAGUUCUGUGGGGAAAAAAAAAAAAAAAAAAAAAAAAAGGAUAGCAUCUCCAGUUAUUUGUUAAAGGAAAAAUACACAACUUCUGUGUCUAGAAAAGGCAACAUGGUUCUACUUAUCUUAUGACCUGUAACAUUGCUUUAAAGAAUAAUAAGCUCAUCACUGUAAUGUAUUGCGGACAAUCUGGUUGCUACUUAAAUUCCACAAGUUGCAUUAUACUUUUUCUGACUUUGGUUAGUCUUUGGGUCUAUUUGGCAAUGAAACAGUUACUUUCGCAUUUCCUUUUGCAGCUUUGCAUUACAAUCUAUGUGAAAUCCAGAUGUAUUUGUUUUCUUCCAAAGAGUUACCUUGGGAUACGAAAUCAUGGCUAAUGAAUAUGAAUGUCUUGGAUCAGAUCCCAGUCCAGCUCUCUGGAAAACCCAAAUUCCAUUACCUCAAAAAAAUGAGCCCCAAAUACAUUAAAAACUUUAUAUGCCAAAUAACCUUCACUAUCGAUCAUACCAGAAUCUAUUGCUUCUGCUUGACAGGAGUUGUUGAGACAGUAGAAUAAUAAAUUGACUGUACACCUAGUCUUUGAACUAUUUUUUUUUUUUGCCUCUAUUUUUAAAAAAUAGAAAAAAUAGGCUCUCCUAGGAUGAAGAUUUUGUAAGUCAAAUUUUAUCCCUUCAUGCCCCAGAAAGCUUUUCUCCCCUCGAAGUUCUAGUUUAGACUUCUGAAAACAGAUACAUUGGAAAACUUGACAAUAUCCUAGCUGUGUUAAGGCACUUCCAACAGAAUUUAUACUGAAAUUAUUUUUAAAAAUAAAUAAAUAAAACAAAAGCACAGGACACAAAUCUAAUGGGAAUUCACCUGAUGCUUUGUGACUGAACUCCUCCCCUCCUCUCCCCACCCCUUCCCUCUCCUCCCCUCCCCUCCCGUUUUUUUUCCCCACCACCUUGGAGGUUCUCCACUUUUCUCCUUUGUGAAUUCAGUACUGAAUUUUUUGCUGUUUCUAUUUUGAUCAUGAUUAACAACUCCUAACUUGGUGCUUCAGUACUAAAGAGUCAUUUCAAAGAAGAGCUGCUGAAGAGUCAGCUGCUUGCAGUUAGCAGAGGCAAAGCUUCAGAGCAUAGUUAAACUCUCGCACAUACUCAACACACAGAGAUGACCUGCUCUUUUAUAAUAUUCUUGUAUUUCCAAACUGUCUAGAGAUCAUAUUUUUCAAGUAAUAUUUUCCAGAGCAGAAGCAGCAAAUCAGCUUAAAAGGUAUACCAAGAAUCUUAUUUAGCAGUUCUGGGAUGUAAGUGAUCAUCUUACUCCAAGGAAAUUUAGACAACCCAAGUACUAUUCAACAUAAAGUGGAAAAAACAAACAAACAAACAAAACCACAUUGGUUUAUAUGAUGCAAACUAACAAACUUCUUUAUAAAUCUUUUUCUCAGAACCAAAUUACAAAGCCUGUUGCACGGGGAACUCAUUGUAUCUAAAUUAAAUAUUUUUUUCCAGUUCUGGCAUUUUACAAAUGAAAAUAAAAGUGCAUGAAUGACCCAAGAUAAUACAAGGUUACAUCAUCUCACACAAAAUUGCAAAAUUUAGUGAAACAGGAUUGAUUUGACCAGACAACUUAUACAGAAUUCUCAAUUACUACACUGUUAGUUUUUUUGAGUCACAGAAGUGAAGUCAAUUGUAGAGACAUCAGUUCCCAAUAAAUCAAUUUGAUAAGAACAAAAUUUUGAAUUUAUCCCUUCUGUACCCUGAAUUAUUGGGAAAAUAAACCUUGAUCAGUGAGUAGGUAACUAAUAUGAGAGUGAAGGGAGAAAAACAUGGUGAAAUGGAGGCAAGAGUCUUUCCUGAUCUGAAUAUUUUUGAAAGAUUUGUUUCAUUCCCUGGGAAGAAGUGCAAUGGUUGAUUGAUUUAUAUAUUUUUUUAAGUUCUUUGAUUAUACUGAGUUUGAAUUUAGUGUUUGUUAUUUUAAAAUGAGUUUACAUUAUAUGCAAACAUCUAUCCUUCUAAUUGGAAUUAUUCACAGAACAAUGUUAACAUUCAGGACAGAGAAGAUUGUCUGAUAACAAUAAUUAUCUGAUAAGUAUAAAUAAUAAUAACAUUUAUUUCUGACCAUUUCAUCCUACCCCUUUUACAUUACUGCAAUUAAUCUGUCAAGAUACUUCUGGAGAGAAGUGGUGUGGGUUGUUGCACCUCCAGCUUUGUGGUAUGGGUUGUUGCACCUCUAGCUUUGAACCUUCUGCUUCUUUGUCAGCAUGCUACCAGUCAGCUCACCAAUGAACAGAAAAGUGCUCCAUGGCAUGGAUUUUAUUUAGUAUAAUUUACAGGACAUUCCUCAUAACAGGAGAAAUAAAGAAAAGUGUAAGUGAAAAAAAAAAAAAAAAUGAAGGAACUGUUCGGGCUGCAGACUGCAUUGAGAAACAACUUCAGCUACUGGCUGAAGUUGAAACUUCUCUUGAAAAGUAUCAGAAAGUGAGCUCCAUUUGGCAAACAAGAAGGAGAAAUGAUAGAGCUUAAACUGUUUUUAUUUGUAGUGAUCUGAUUUUCUGCUUGGUCUCUAAAUGCUGCUGCUCAAAAUAAUGUGUCUCUGUUCAAUUCCAGCAUAAGACUGCCCUGUGGAAACCAGAUGGAAAUUUGUUGAGAUUAAUUUAUUUUUUUUAAUGGUUAGAAAUCUGGGGGUGGGAAGAGCUUGUCUGUAAAUACUCUCAGAAGUUUUCUUAUUCUAUUUCUGAGUCCUAUGCUGGUCUUUGCAAGAAACUCUGGAGUUUUGAGGUCCCUAACAGUUGCAGGAGAAAUGUAUUUGGAACAAAGUUUUGAUAUUCUGGAGUCUAAAAUGUGCGUGUGUGUGUUGAGAGAGGAGGAUAAUUACAGUAAAUAAUCUUUAGGGCUGAGCCAGUACUAGGGUGCUCAUCAUAUGAAUUCACUUUGAUUGUCUGGGGGACAGUUACAAAUAUUGGAAAUAUGGAUUUAAGAUUCUCCAACUAUUUUCAUGCUCAAGGCUUUGAGAACAGACAUUCAAAAGCGUGGCGUGGGUAAAAGAAAAGAUGUUUCUUUCCAUUUUGGAAGAAAAAUCUUACAACACUUUCAGAUCUUGCUAUCCAUGGCAUUAAGUUGGCUUAUAAGUGUCUUGGGUUUUCAUCAGGAUUUCAGUGAAGGAGGUGAGAUUAUCAGAUACUUUAGGACCUAUUUUAAAAUACAUUGGGCCGAAUACUGCAAGGUUUUGAAAUCAGAAAGAGUGGAGAAUGUUUAGAAUCCAGGAGUUAUGCAACAUCUCAAAAAAUACUAAACGUACAGUGUUUUCUCUUUUAUAUUUUGUGUAAAACAUUAAUUUUCACUACAGUCCAUUUAUAAGGAAACAGAUCAUGGCGUGGUCUUAGUUUAUAGUCUUACAUUCAAAAAAGGUAUAAAAGCUAUCUGUUUUUUUCUGGCUUUGUCUUUAACUGUUUACUGAUUUCUGAAUACUAUGAAUACAGCAAUGCAUUUGUGCUUCAAAACCCUAUAAAAAAGACAAUACAUUUGUUAAGUUUUAUGAUUUUAUUAUUAUUAUUCUUUUUUUUAAUGCUAAGUUUUAUGCUAUUAAGAAGUUGGUCUGAAGUUUCAGAAUUUUUCAGAAAGCCAACCCUCCACCUCGUCAAUCUUCUUUAGCAUUUUUUUCUCCAAUUUAAAUUAAUGUGAUCACUGUUUUCAUUCUUUUGUAUGUAAACAAAGCACUUCCAGGAAAAAAAAAAUGUUAUGAAGAGAGUUCUAUUUACAUGAGAAAGAGAUCUAGAUGACAGCCAUGGCUUAGUGACUGGCAAAGUGCCCUUGACAGAUUUGUCUCCUACCAAACCAAGCUGCACUGUUUUCCAGACAAAAAAAGUAUUUUCCUCCUCAAGUGACUUGCUGUUUGUACAAAUUAAUGUCAAAGAUAGAUUUCAGUGCAGUGAUGACAGAUUUGGAACACACAGUGCAGUUUACGUGUCAAAUAAAAUUAUGUGGAUAUUCUUCACUUUCACAGCACUCAUUCACAAAACACAGGAACAUCAAUAGAUUUAUAGCCUGCAGAGUGUGAAAAUGUUUUGGUGAGCAGUGUCAUACUAGGUCACUCAUCCUUAAUGAUACUGUUUCAUAUUUAUGCCACAAACAAAACCAGCUCAAGGCAAAAUGAAAUGUUACACUGAUUGUUGCUGGCCUUCCAUGUAGAAGGACAAAGAGAAGCCAUCAGACCCUGUGGCUAGCUUCAUUUACAAAGUAGUCAAUGUAGAUUAAAGAUUGUUAAAUAUCUCCCAACAGCAUGGGCCAUGUGAUUAAAAGCCCUGGUGUUCCUGCAGUGAAGACAAUUUGUCAUCCUUUGUUUGGUGGUUUGAUGCUGAACAAAAAAAAAAAAAAAAGAAAGAGAGAGAGAAAGAAAAGGAAAAGAAAAAUGCCUCUGUGACAAUUUAAAUUUGGAGGGCAGCUGUGAUGUUCUGUUUCAUGAUAUAUCUUGGAAUAGAGAUUGGUAAAAAUGCAAUGUGGUACAAUGACAUUUUAGCUGAUUUAUUCCAUAGCCUCUGAAUGAAUAUAUACUCUGAAUGUAUACCCUGGGAAGUGUACACAGCACUUUCCAGCAUUAGUUGGGUUUCACUGCUGAGGUUUUCUCCUCCCACCCAU